rnacentral:lncRNA from 1 species
GCUUCUUUUGUCCUGCAAUCCCUGCUCAUCAUAUCAACCAUUGCCUAAAUUGUUGCUAGCAUAAAGCAAUUUGGUCAACUAUCCAAUGAUUUCGAAACUUAACCCUAUGCAUCCCUACACCUUGAUCUAAAGUUAGUGCUCCAGGAGAUGAGGAUUGAUGAAGAUUUCAUAUUUCGGAUGCUUGCUUGAAUUAGAGGGGAGGGCCAUGGUAUUAGGUGGCCGC